CCUACGGGUGGCAGCAGUGAGGAAUAUUGGUCAAUGGGCGGUAGCCUGAACCAGCCAAGUAGCGUGAAGGAUGAAGGCCCUACGGGUUGUAAACUUCUUUUAUAAAAGAAUAAAGUGCAGAAUGUAUGCCGUUUUGUAUGUACUUUAUGAAUAAGGAUCGGCUAACUCCGUGCCAGCAGCCGCGGUAAUACGGAGGAUCCGAGCGUUAUCCGGAUUUAUUGGGUUUAAAGGGAGCGUAGAUGGGUUGGUAAGUCAGUUGUGAAAGUUUGCGGCUCAACCGUAAAAUUGCAGUUGAUACUGGCAGUCUUGAGUACAGUAGAGGUAGGCGGAAUUCGUGGUGUAGCGGUGAAAUGCUUAGAUAUCACGAAGAACUCCGAUUGCGAAGGCAGCUCACUAAACUGCAACUGACACUGAUGCUCGAAAGUGUGGGUAUCAAACAGGAUUAGAUACCCUUGUAGUC
rnacentral:rRNA from 1 species